UCCACCCUACUUCCGGUCAUUGAGUUCCACACACCGGACGUGAGUUUUCAUCGCCUGCUGCAGCCUCCCAGUGUCCGUCGUGAUCAGACACUCCAGCUGUGAGGAACCAGAGUCAUUAUUACACGUCACACGUUCUGUAUUCUUAUCUAUCACUAAGCAUGGACACGUCCGGGAGUCUCAGGACUGAGAGGAUAAUAAAUAUCACCCUGGAGAUCAUCUACCUGCUGACUGGAGAGGAUUACACAGUAGUGAGGAAGACAUCCAGUGAAUGUGAAUCACCCAGCAGCCAUCACCAUGUGUCAGGAGGACUGAGCAGGACCCAGAGCCACAUCACGGUGCCUCCACCUCGCUCACUGAUACAUGAGAGACACAAUGACCAGAAGAUCCUGAAACUCACCCACAAGAUCAUUCAGCUGCUGACUG